UCCACCUGGUCCUGGUAAUUGUAAAUCUCACCUCUUUUUAGUUAUACUUCUCCGGUCUUUCUUUUGUUGUGUCUUUGCUCUUUUCAAAUUUCAAGUUUAAAUUACCUUUUCAGUUAAGUCAACCGUAGAAUUUUUUUGGCAUUAGGGAGGCAUAGCUGCUAUCUCGCUAUCUGCAAACGUAUUCAACAAGACAUAAUGUUCUUGAAAAUUCUACUAUUGGCACCCCCAACGCAGCCCACAUCAUCUUGGUACAGAGACGGUUUUCCCUUUUCCAAAACAGGCUGCACUUAUCAUCUGAGAACCUUCGGAGCUCUUUGAGAAAGGUUUCCUCUUUUAUUAACUUAAUGUUGCCAAUGUGUUCCCUCUGCCAAUGUGUACAAACCGAGUCUGUCUUUGAACAUCUUUUGUAUUUUGUUUGCCAGCUGCAAGUCACCAAGUUCGACCAACUCAACCCCACGACAAGUUAAACAAAGGAAAAAGUAUGCAAUCCUUCGCCCAUUUCUCAAAAAGUAAGCCCGCUCUUUCCAUUAUGUUUUCGUAUGGCCUAUUUAUCGUCGCAUUGUUGUAUAUUUUGCAUUAUUACUAAUUUAACAUUGCCAAUCUAUUUUCUCUAACAACGUGUAUAACACUUAACUUAUCUAACUUUGCCUACUUACAUUUUAACUUCAACCUUUAAACAUGUUAUGUAUUUUGAUUACUAGCUGCCAGCCGCGAUGUCAGACUCAAUUCCUGCGCAAUUUAGAUAAAGGAAAGCAAGUAUGCAGCCUAUUCACUAUCUUUGAAACAGGUAAUCCAGCUCUUUGCCUUAUAUUUUUCAGUAUGGCAUAUUGAUCAUCACUUUAUUGUAAAUUGUGAUUGUUUGCACAUAAGGGUGCAUGUUGGAUGUGUCUACUCAGCAUUAUGCGGCCUUAAAUACAGUUCCAAUCGAAAGGUUUGUGCUAAAUUGAUACUCCAAUAAUAUCUACUUCACCUAUUACUGAACAGCGAAGCGAGUAAUAUGAUUCUAAAAAAAGUUCCUAACUGUUCAUAUUGUGGCACACAAAAAUUUGAAUACAAAAGAAGAAUCUAAACAUUUUCGAACAUAGAUUAGAACAUACAAUAAUAUGUUGAACACAUUGCUUGGUGUGAAGUACGAUAAAAAAAAUUGUGAAAAGAAAUUGUGGUAUGUACAGAUUUAGAGAACAAGGACAUAUGUAUCAUUUCAUAGAUGAUUUAGUCGCUUCCAACGAAAAACCCAACAACUUACAAUUAUACUUUUCUGAUCAUGAGAAUGAAUUGGCUAGCAGAAUGGCCAAAAAACCCCAAACUAUUAGAGGCAAGGCUAAUGACAAAAAGGGUCUAAGAAGUCAUGGUACUUACUCCCUCUGUUUCAUCUUCGAUUUACUUAAACUAAUACUCAUUAUUAUAUAAUUAAAGUUUAAAGUUACAAUUUAUGAGUGCAGUAAUUUUAAUAGCAUCAAUUGUUGAGAUUUUUACUGGUAAAACAAAAUACAUACUAAAAUACUUUAGCAGUACAAAAAGAAAUAUCUAUUCAUAAUAUCUUGAGAUUGUUUCCUAUUAAGCUAUUCAAAGAAGGAAACAGUGUGAUUGACUUGUCUUUUUGUUUACCUAUUUUGAUUAAAAUAAAGAUAUUCUCCUUCACUCCACAUUAUCAUUUUACUUAACAAAAGAAACAAUAACUUGUGUACCGAAAGAGGUACCAUUUUCUCAUGAAUUUAUCUUGAGUUGAGAUUCUUUGGUCAAUUUUAUCCAAUUUUGCUAACAGCAGUCCAUUUUCAAUCUUAAAUUGGUUAAAAUACAGCAACGGAAUUGGGUAUUUAUUUAAGGUGACAAUGUAUAUUAUUUAUUAAACUCUUAUGUUUUAUUGUGCUUUCUAUUCUGGCUUUGAAAUUUGGGGCUAAGAAAAAGGUUGGGAUGUUCAUUGUUCAAGUAAUUUGAGAUAUUAGACGAUGCUAUUGAUGUAAUGAAAUUGGAAGAUGCUGUAAUUCAAAACAUGGUAAAGUCUCUGAUUUGUGUUCACAAGUUGCAAUCCUUGAUUGUUUUUCAUUGUAUUGGGUUAUUUUUCAUAAUAUUGGCAAUUUUGACAAAUGUACAAUGAUUUUAACUCCACUAUGUACAUACUUGGUCACCCAUGGAAGAAGUGUGAAAAGAUAAUUCAGCAAUUAUUUGGAAACCUUUCCUCAUGUUGGGAACCAAAAUGAGGUACAAGAAGCAAUGUAAAGUGUACUUCAAACAGAACUUGAGUUGUACGAGUAGGGUUAAAAUAGGAAAUUCACUUUAUUCACUCUCUCACCUCUGCUUCUACUCUUUCUUCUCUGGCUGACAACAUUGACAGCCAUUUUAAACCUUCAACGGAGUUAAACUUUGCUUCAGAGUCUCACUCCAACUUCUCAAGUUCGUUCAAUUGUUUACCUGGUAAGUAUUCUUGUGUGGUAUUGACCCUCUUCCCUUGUGAAUUUUAACUCUUUUUUUCCCAUUAUUGUGUUUAUGCUUCCUAUUAUUUUACUGAUUUUUCUUAUUUAUAGGUCUUCCACAAUUUUUCUCGGAUUCUUUUGAGUUCAGAUAGAUGCCUCUUGAAAUACAUGCAUAAUUUGUUUUCAAUAUUUUGCAGUUUCUAGCUCUAAAAUACUAAAAAAUAUUAGUAGUAUUUUCUUAUCAAUAUAUGAUACUUUUUGUAGAUAAUUAAUGGCUUGAUGCGGUAGCAUGUUUGCCGGAAUUUCCUGUGAAGGUAAGACUUGUGUGUUAUGAAGAGAGAUUAGUUACAAGAGUUGAUUGUUUUGGCAGAUGAUUGAAGGUGCUAAUGAAGUUGAACGGUGGGCUUAGGUGAAUAGACAUUUUCCCUUGUAAUAUCUUUUUUUCAUAUGGUAUUUUCCCCAAAAAAUAUUGAGUAAGAAUUUGAGUUGCCGAAUUCUUUGAUGCUGCCAUGAAAUUAGAAGUGAUAACGUAAUGCUGAAAAUUCUGGGUAAGCUUUCAGUAUUGAUCUUUUUGUUGUUUGAACUACAUUUUUGAAAAAAUUCAACUACUAAUAUAGUAAGUUGAGGUGAUAUUCAAAGACAAAUUGUUUAAAUACAAAGUCAGAAUAACAAGCAGGUUGAAUCAGGUGAAAAGGUUCAUUUCUGGCUCUCCAAUUUCCAAGUCCUUUAAGGUACCAUUCCACAUUUUCUUAAGAACAUUUAAACUUUUGCCAAUGAAUCGUGAUGUUGGUGUUGCAUUUAUUUUUACCAGUUCUUGGAUAAAAGCUGAAACUUUAAUAUUGAAAAUUCUGUUACUGGAUUGAGUUCUAGAAGUCUGUCAUAUCAUCUUAUGCUUUCUCAAAAUUUUUGUUUCAUGUGUUCAUAACAAACGAUUGUAAAACCCUUCUAAUGUUAUGCAUUUAUAUUUAUUUUUCACAAAUAUAUAUCAAGUAAAAGUGAUCUUUUGCUAUGUCUUUUUUCCUGUUUCUUGUAGGCCGCAUGAAAAUAUGCCUUCGGUUUGGAUUGAGUCGGGAAUGAUACGAAUGAUAUGAUUCCCUCUGCUGACUAUAAGAAGCAUAUUCUAUUUCUCCAUUUGUAUGAGUAAAUUCUAUCAUUUCUUUGAGAUAUAAAAUUAUAAGCUAUGUAUCAAUGUUAUUUUGGACAUUUCAUUUUUAUAGGAAAUGCACUGAUGGUAGCAGCAUGUGCUGCUAUAGUUUCAUAUUUUAACUCUUUAUUGUUUUCCCUACUGAAUUUCCCUUUCAGAUUCAAGUGAUGAUUCAAUAUGAUGACACUGUUGUUAAAUCAAAAUUUAUCUUUUUUAGCCAAGUAGACUGAGUAUUGACAUUUUAAUUAUGUUGCCUAAUUGAUA
rnacentral:lncRNA from 1 species